CCUGGGGCGUCCCUGGGGGCCGCAGUCCGGAGAGCGCGCGGCGGCCAUGGCCCUGGCCCCAAGCCCCGCGGGUUCCUCCGGGCCGCCAGGACGCUGGCUCGCCUGUGCGGCCUGAGCCGGACUAGAAGAAGAAUCCACCCACUGAGGGUCUCUCCAGGAGCGAAAAGUAGCCGAUGUCGAGACAGGACUCGCCCCCACGCUUUCAAGAGAAACACACAAAGGAAAUCUGCCUUUUAAUACCAAUCGGCUUACUUCAAUUUUAUCUGAAACAGAGGUAAAACUUCUGGUAAUAAGUAAGGAACCCCUCCAAUUGUAUAGGACCUUCACCCUGAAUGGGAUCCACUCACGACCCGACGUAGGCGUGAACAUCACACACAUGCAUCACUGGACUCAGCGCUCCUGUGACAGAUGUGGUUGCACCUGCCAUCCAGCAAGCUGCUCCUGGUUUCAAGAUAUCAUGAAGCCUGUGUGGAAACAAAUUAGUAGAUUGCUGUGAGCACACACACGUCAGAGCAAAGGGAGGUUGAUAGAAAUGGCAGGAUAUCUCUGGAAGCUAAACGAGUCAUUUCUAACUCAGAGUGGAGCACAACCCUUUGUAGGUUCUACUGUACUGAGCUGUCUUUGGAGGCCUCCAGUGAGCAACUAGGAAGUGGCCCAGCCCAGGGGGAAGAUUCAUGUGGUUUUGAUUAUCUGCGAAAAGGGCUGCUGGGACUCCUUCUAGAAGAAACUUACACCUGAAGCUUCAUGUUCUGGUUUUGGACGUCCCAACUGAACCAGCUGUGAUAUCUUUGGGAACAUUGAAGACCUGUGAAGAGCAAGAAGGAUCUUGCUCUGUUGCUGGGGCUAGAAUGCAG